rnacentral:rRNA from 1 species
CUAAGAAUCUUCCGCAAUGGGGGAAACCCUGACGGAGCGACGCCGCGUGGACGAUGAAGGCCGGAAGGUUGUAAAGUCCUUUUCUUGGUGAAGAAUAAGGGUGGGAGUGGAAUGCCCGCCUGAUGACGUUAACCAAGGAAUAAGCCCCGGCCAAUUACGUGCCAGCAGCCGCGGUAACACGUAUGGGGCGAGCGUUGUUCGGAAUUAUUGGGCGUAAAGGGCGUGUAGGCGGUCUGUUAAGCCUGGUGUUAAAGGUGUCGGCUCAACCGGCACUGUGCGCUGGGAACUGGCGGGCUGGAGUACUGGAGGGGGAGCUGGAAUUCCUGGUGUAGGGGUGAAAUCUGUAGAUAUCAGGAAGAACACCGGUGGCGAAGGCGAGCUCCUGGCCAUGUACUGACGCUGAGGCGCGAAAGCGUGGGGAGCGAACAGGAUUAGAUACCCCCGUAGUCC